CCUGCGAUCAAGUUCCAUGAAAAAUAGAGACCAAAACAAAUAAAUAGGACAGAGAAAUUUAGAGGUAUAGAGAUAAUGCCAGAAACAAAAGAAAAUAUCAAAAAUAAAACUACUGGGAUGCCUGGGUGGCUCAGUGUUGAGUGUCCGCCUUUGGCUCAGGUCGAGAUCCUGGAGUCCUGGGAUAGAGUCCCACAUCAGGCUCCCCACAGGGAGCCUGCUUCUCCGAGUAUGUCUCUGCCUCUCUCUGUAUGUCUCUCAUGAAUAAUAAAUAAAAUCUUAAAAAAAAAAAAACAAAAACAAAACCAUACACACAAGUUUCACCCUAUUAUCAUCCUACCUUUCUCAUAGCUUUUUUCUGUCUCCUCCAGCUCUAUGUCCCGUUCAUCCCCAAUGAACAUAAUACACCUGCUUUGGCCCUCUCUUCAGUCUAUACCUACAAUGUCCAAUAUAGUAGCCAUCAGUCAAACAUAGUUAUUUAAACUUAAUUAAAACUAAAUAAAAAUUCAACUCUUCAGUUGCACUGAGCCAUAUUUCAAGUGCUCAACAGCUCAACAACUUAAAAGUGGCUAGCAGCCACUCUAUUAAGAUUUUUUUUUUUUUAAGAUCUUAUUUCUUUAUUCAUGAGAGACACACACACAUAGAGAGAGAGAGAGAGAGAGAGAGAGGCAGAGACACAGGCAGAGGGAGAAGCAGGCUCCAUACAGGGAGCCCGACGACGUGAGACUCCAUCCCGGGUCUCCAGGAUCAGGCCCAGGGCUGAAGGUGGCGCUAAACUGCUGAGCUACCUGGGCCGCCCUCUAUUAAGAUUUAGAACAUUUCCAUGCAAGUUCUAUUGGACAGUGAUAGUCUAUAUACUCUCUUUCCAUUGAACUGACUGAUAUUUAUGGAGGGUCUUUUGUGUACCAGGCACUGUUCUGGACCCUAAAGAUAGAGCACUGGAGAAAACAAAGUCCUGCUAUGGAGCCGACAUCUAGUAGGAGGAAAGAGACAAUCUCAUUUAUUUCCAAACUGUCAUAGGGCUCCUAAGGCCUCUCCUGGGCUCCUAACUUGAAAUUUACAGCUUCUGCUAGAGUGCUAUGAAUUAUUAUACUCUGUCCCAAACUGAAUUCGGUAUCUUCUUUUUCCUCUCAAAUUUCCUUUUACUGUAUUCUUGAUUUCUUUCUUUCUUUCUUUUUUUUAAAGAUUUAUCCAUUCAUGAUAGACACAGAAAGAGAGAGAAAGAGAGAGAGAGAGGCAGAGGGAGGGAAAAGCAGGCUCCAUGCCGGGAGCCCGACGCAGGACUCGAUCCCAGGUCUCCAGGAUGGCGCCCUAGGCCAAAGGCAGGCGCCAAACCGCUGAGCCACCCAGGGAUCCCCUGUAUUCUUGAUUUCUGAGUAACCCUGGCCUUUUUCUCCUAUGUCCUACCACAUCCAGUUACCAAACCUUGUUGAAUUUAUCUGUACUAAACCUCUCUCUCUACCUUUACUGUCACUGCCCUAAUGAACUCUUGGCCCAAAGCCUCCAAAAUUAACUUCUCUAACUGAUCCUUCCACAUUUGCUUCAUGCAUGUCCUAGUUCACCCUAGUCCAUCUGGCAUUAAUAUUAUGCUUCUAAAACACAAAUUUGAUCCUGUAGUUUCCCAGAUCAAAAACCACCAGAUAAACGCCUUAAGUAUAAAACAAAUCCCUUAGCACAAACUCAAAGCAUCACAUAAUUUGGUUACAAACUACUUUAUCCUUCUAAUCUACUCUCCUGCUACAUACUGUACUACCCAGCCACCCCAAAUUACUAGAUCCCUUCAGGAAUCAAUCUCUCCCACAAAAUCUUCUACUUUUCUCCACUUAAAUACACAAAUACAAUCUCUUCAGCCACGAAGGCUGAUUCAAAGGACACCUGUCUCUUAAGUCUCUUAUCUCCCAAUCAAUCUUAAUUAUUUACUCUACAGAACUGCUGUAGUAAUUACACAUAAUCAUCAUACGUACAUCAUAUUCUCAGCGUCUGGUACCUGGGGAGUACCACGUUAAAGGACUAAAUACUUCUCUGAACAUUUAUGUCUGUGUUACGCGGAAAGACCCAUUUUUCGGUCAUAUUCGUGGAAACCUUUUCUUUCCUAGUAGGACUCAACAGCUUCAUACUCUGCGGGUAUUCGAGAAGUACUCAACAGAAUGUAAGGCCUGCGCGGUAUUUUCUCACAUUCGGAGCCAGCGCAUCGAUGCUGCCUGACUGGAGGCUCUGC
rnacentral:lncRNA from 1 species